UACGUAGGUGGCAAGCGUUGUCCGGAUUUACUGGGCGUAAAGGAUGCGUAGGCGGACUUUUAAGUGGGAUGUGAAAUUCCGAGGCUCAACCUCGGCGCUGCAUUCCAAACUGGAAGUCUAGAGUGCGGGAGAGGAAAGUGGAAUUCCUAGUGUAGCGGUGAAAUGCGUAGAGAUUAGGAAGAACACCAGUGGCGAAGGCGGCCUGCUGGGCCACGACCGACACUGAGGUGCGACAGCGUGGGGAGCAAACAGG
rnacentral:rRNA from 1 species